GACGAACGCUGGCGGCGUGCUUAACACAUGCAAGUCGAACGGAAAGGCCCUUCGGGGUACUCGAGUGGCGAACGGGUGAGUAACACGUGGGUGAUCUGCCCUGCACUUUGGGAUAAGCCUGGGAAGCUGGGUCUAAUACCGGAUAGGACCACGGCAUUCAUGUGCUGUGGUGGAAAGCUUUUGCGGUGUGGGAUGGGCCCGCGGCCUAUCAGCUUGUUGGUGGGGUAAUGGCCUACCAAGGCGACGACGGGUAGCCGGCCUGAGAGGGUGACCGGCCACACUGGGACUGAGAUACGGCCCAGACUCCUACGGGAGGCAGCAGUGGGGAAUAUUGCACAAUGGGCGCAAGCCUGAUGCAGCGACGCCGCGUGAGGGAUGACGGCCUUCGGGUUGUAAACCUCUUUCGCCAGGGACGAAGCGCAAGUGACGGUACCUGGAGAAGAAGGACCGGCCAACUACGUG
rnacentral:rRNA from 1 species